rnacentral:rRNA from 1 species
GAUGGACGCUGGCGGCGUGCCUAAUACAUGCAAGUCGAGCGAACAGACGAGGAGCUUGCUCCUUUGACGUUAGCGGCGGACGGGUGAGUAACACGUGGGUAACCUACCUAUAAGACUGGGAUAACUUCGGGAAACCGGAGCUAAUACCGGAUAAUAUUUCGAACCGCAUGGUUCGAUAGUGAAAGAUGGCUUUGCUAUCACUUAUAGAUGGACCUGCGCCGUAUUAGCUAGUUGGUAAGGUAACGGCUUACCAAGGCAACGAUACGUAGCCGACCUGAGAGGGUGAUCGGCCACACUGGAACUGAGACACGGUCCAGACUCCUACGGGAGGCAGCAGUAGGGAAUCUUCCGCAAUGGGCGAAAGCCUGACGGAGCAACGCCGCGUGAGUGAUGAAGGUCUUCGGAUCGUAAAACUCUGUUAUUAGGGAAGAACAAGCGUGUAAGUAACUGUGCACGUCUUGACGGUACCUAAUCAGAAAGCCACGGCUAACUACGUG